rnacentral:rRNA from 1 species
AUUGAACGCUGGCGGCAGGCCUAACACAUGCAAGUCGAGCGAGCGGCGGACGGGUGAGUAAUGUUGGGUAAACUGCCGGUUGCAGGGGGAUAACUACGGGAAACGGUAUCGAAUACCGCAUACCAUCAGAUGUGCCCAGAUGGGAUUAGCUAGUAGGUGGGGUAACGGCUCACUUAGGCGACGAUCCCGAGCUGGUCUGAGAGGUUGAUCAGCCACACUGGAACUGAGACACGGUCCAGACUCCUACGGGAGGCAGCAGUGGGGAAUAUUGGACAAUGGGCGAAAGCCUGAUGCAGCCAUGCCGCGUGUGUGAAGAAGGCCGUCGGGUUGUAAAGCACUGUCAGUGGGGAGGCGUUACCCACAGAAGAAGCACCGGCUAACUCCGUGCCAGCAGCCGCGGUAAUAC